rnacentral:rRNA from 1 species
GGACUACUCGGGUUUCUAAUCCCGUUUGCUCCCCUGGCUUUCGCGCCUCAGCGUCAGAAAAGGUCCAGCAGCUCGCUUUCGCCACCGGCGUUCCUUCCGAUAUCAACGCAUUUCACCGCUCCACCGGAAGUUCCAGCUGCCCCUACCUCGCUCGAGACCCGCAGUAUCAAAGGCUGUUUUCCGGUUAAGCCGAAAGAUUUCACCCCUGACUGGCGGGCCCGCCUACGCGCCCUUUAAGCCCAGUGAUUCCGAACAACGUUCGCACGGUUCGUCUUACCGCGGCUGCUGGCAC